rnacentral:rRNA from 2 species
AAGCCUAAGUACUCCUCUACGACCGAUAGUGAACAAGUACCGUGAGGGAAAGGUGAAAAGCACCCCGACAAGGGGAGUGAAACAGAUCCUGAAAUCGGAAGCCUACAAGCAGUCGGAGCCACCAAGCGUGGUGACGGCGUACCUUUUGUAUAAUGGGUCAGCGACUUCAUGUGCCGAGCAAGCUUAAGCCGUUAGGUGUAGGCGUAGCGAAAGCGAGUUUGAAUAGAGCGUUAAGUUCGUCGCAUGACGACCCGAAACUAGGUGAUCUAUCCAUGAGCAGGAUGAAGGUACAGUAACAUGUACUGGAGGUCCGAACCGAUAUCUGUUGAAAAAGAUUCGGAUGACUUGUGGAUAGGGGUGAAAGGCCAAUCAAACCUAGACAUAGCUGGUUCUCCGCGAAAUCUAUUUAGGUAGAGCGUCGAAUGUAUUCCUUGGGGGGUAGAGCACUGGAUGGAUGCGGGCUGCGCGAGCGGUACCAAUUUCAACCAAACUCCGAAUACCCAAGAGAACUGUUCGGCAGACACACUGUGGGUGCUAACGUCCAUGGUGAAAAGGGAAACAACCCUAACCUGCAUCUAAGGCCCCCAAAUUAUGGCUAAGUGGGAAACGAUGUGGGAUUGCUUUGACAAUCAGGAGGUUGGCUUAGAAGCAGCCAUCCUUUAAAGAUAGCGUAACAGCUCACUGAUCAAGCGAUCCUGCGCGGAAAAUGUAACGGGGCUAAAGCCAUGUGCCGAAGAUCAGGGCUUCUUAGGAAGCGGUAGCGGAGCGUUCCGUAAGCCUGUGAAGGUCAAUCGUGAGGUUGGCUGGAGGUAUCGGAAGUGAGAAUGCUGACAUGAGUAGCGAUAAAGAGUGUGAGAGACACUCUCGCCGAAAGACCAAGGGUUCCUACGUAAAGCUAAUCUGCGUAGGGUUAGCCAGCCCCUAAGGCGAGGCCGAAAGGCGUAGUCGAUGGGAACCAGGUAAAUAUUCCUGGGCCAGUAUGAAGUGACGGAUGCGGUAACUUGUGAGGGCUUAUUGGAUUGUCCUUGCAGGGAACGUGUCCCUGGAAAUAACUCAUACAGAGACUGUACCCGAAACCGACACAGGUGGUCAGGUAGAGUAUACCAAGGCGCUUGAGAGAACUAUGCUGAAGGAACUCGGCAAAUUACACGCGUAACUUCGGGAUAAGCGUGACUUCACAUUGGGCAACCAGUAUGAAGUGGCACAGGCUAGGGGGUAGCGACUGUUUAUCAAAAACACAGGGCUCUGCGAAGCUGUAAAGCGACGUAUAGGGUCUGACGCCUGCCCGGUGCCGGAAGGUUAAAAGGAGUGGUGCAAGCUGCGAAUUGAAGCCCCGGUAAACGGCGGCCGUAACUAUAACGGUCCUAAGGUAGCGAAAUUCCUUGUCGGGUAAGUUCCGACCUGCACGAAUGGCGUAACGACUUCCCCACUGUCUCCAGCAUAGGCUCAGCGAAAUUGAAUUCCCCGUGAAGAUGCGGGGUUCCCGCGGUCAGACGGAAAGACCCUAUGAACCUUUACUAUAGCUUCGCCUUGGCGUUAGCAGCAACAUGUGUAGGAUAGGUGGGAGGCUAUGAAGCGAGGGCGCCAGUUCUCGUGGAGCCAUCCUUGAAAUACCACCCUUAUUGCUGUUGACGUCUAACCGAGACCCGUUAUCCGGGUCCGGGACAUGGCGUGGUGGGUAGUUUGACUGGGGCGGUCGCCUCCCAAAGUGUAACGGAGGCGCGCGAUGGUGGGCUCAGAACGGUCGGAAAUCGUUCGACGAGUGCAAUGGCAUAAGCCCGCCUGACUGCGAGACUGACAAGUCGAGCAGAGACGAAAGUCGGCCAUAGUGAUCCGGUGGUCCUUCGUGGACGGGCCAUCGCUCAACGGAUAAAAGGUACUCUAGGGAUAACAGGCUGAUUUUGCCCAAGAGUCCAUAUCGACGGCAAAGUUUGGCACCUCGAUGUCGGCUCAUCACAUCCUGGGGCUGGAGCAG